rnacentral:rRNA from 1 species
GACGUAGGGCGCGAGCGUUGUCCGGAUUUAUUGGGCGGAAAGAGCUCGUAGGCGGUCUGUCGCGUCGGAUGUGAAAACCCAGGGCUCAACCCUGGGCCUGCAUUCGAUACGGGCAGACUAGAGUUCGGUAGGGGAGACUGGAAUUCCUGGUGUAGCGGUGAAAUGCGCAGAUAUCAGGAGGAACACCGGUGGCGAAGGCGGGUCUCUGGGCCGAAACUGACGCUGAGGAGCGAAAGCCAGGGGAGCAAACGGG